rnacentral:rRNA from 1 species
UGAGUCCUACGGGGCGCAGCAGUGGGGAAUAUUGCACAAUGGGCGCAAGCCUGAUGCAGCGACGCCGCGUGCGGGAUGGAGGCCUUCGGGUUGUAAACCGCUUUUGUUCAAGGGCAAGGCACGGUCUUUGGCCGUGUUGGGUGGAUUGUUCGAAUAAGCACCGGCUAACUACGUGCCAGCUGCCGCGGUAAUACGUAGGGUGCAAGCGUUAUCCGGGUUUAUUGGGCGUAAAGGGCUCGUAGGCGGUUCGUCGCGUCCGGCGUGAAAGUCCAUCGCUUAACGGUGGAU